ACGAACGCUGGCGGCGUGCCUAAUACAUGCAAGUUGAGCGAUGAAGAUUGGUGCUUGCACCAAUUUGAAGAGCAGCGAACGGGUGAGUAACGCGUGGGGAAUCUGCCUUUGAGCGGGGGACAACAUUUGGAAACGAAUGCUAAUACCGCAUAACAACUUUAAACAUCAGUUUUAAGUUUGAAAGAUGCAAUUGCAUCACUCAAAGAUGAUCCCGCGUUGUAUUAGCUAGUUGGUGAGGUAAAGGCUCACCAAGGCGAUGAUACAUAGCCGACCUGAGAGGGUGAUCGGCCACAUUGGGACUGAGACACGGCCCAAACUCCUACGGGAGGCAGCAGUAGGGAAUCUUCGGCAAUGGACGAAAGUCUGACCGAGCAACGCCGCGUGAGUGAAGAAGGUUUUCGGAUCGUAAAACUCUGUUGGUAGAGAAGAACGUUGGUGAGAGUGGAAAGCUCAUCAAGUGACGGUAACUACCCAGAAAGGGACGGCUAACUACGUG
rnacentral:rRNA from 1 species